UAAAGUCGUCAUCUCAGUUUCAGUCUAUUUUUGGCAUGUUUGAUGAAAUUAGGGAAUUCCAUUUUUGUUCUAAUUCAAGACAAACUAUUUUUGGAUAGAAUAAACUUGGAAGAAUGACGUCACGUUUCAAAAUGGCAUCGUACGGUACCAUCGCCCAAAACAUGCAAAAUUUCAGGAAUGCGUCGCCCAGCAUGCCAUCAAUGCCAUUUUCCUCAGGCCCGAAACAUCGUACAAUGAAGGCUACAUGAAGCUUAAGUAUAAUAAAGCAUUAAUAAGGAAUAAAAAUAGAUACUUACGGCUUCAAAAUCAACCGCUUCUGAACUUUGCCUCGUGUAGUAUUAAGCGAGAAUAUCGCGUGAUUUCCGGACG
rnacentral:lncRNA from 1 species